CAUAGCCUAUCGAAGGGAAGAUGGCUGUGAAACUCAUUAGAAUAACAAUAUAACUCAUUAUCUAUGUUAGUCAACGUUUAUUCGUAAAUCUGGUCCUUCACCGUCACGUGCAUGUAUUGUAUUUUUACCAAAUCCACCAAUAGCAAUUCCCAGUUUCCCUAUUGUUCGAGUCACGGAUAGGUGACUUUCCUAAAACAUUGCUAUUGGUUAGUUGGGCAAGAAUACAAUACACACGUGACGGCGAAGGACCAGAUUUAUGAAUAAACGUUGACCAACAUAGAUAAUGAGUUACAUUGUUAUUCUAAUGAG
rnacentral:lncRNA from 1 species